CUUCGGCGCGCGGGUUGGCGGCGCACGUUCGGUGCGCGUGCGGGUCGGCGGCGGGCGGAGACCGGCGCGUGCCGGGCCGCGGCCGAAGCC
rnacentral:tRNA from 1 species